rnacentral:rRNA from 1 species
UGAACGCUGGCGGCUGCCUUACACAUGCAGUCGAACGGCAGCACGGGUGCUUGCACCUGGUGGCGAGUGGCGAAGGGGUGAGUAAUACAUCGGAACAUGUCCUGUAGUGGGGGAUAGCCCGGCGAAAGCCGGAUUAAUACCGCAUACGAUCUACGGAUGAAAGCGGGGGACCUUCGGGCCUCGCGCUAUAGGGUUGGCCGAUGGCUGAUUAGCUAGUUGGUGGGGUAAAGGCCUACCAAGGCGACCAUCAGUAGCUGGUCUGAGAGGACGACCAGCCACACUGGGACUGAGACACGGCCCAGACUCCUACGGGAGGCAGCAGUGGGGAAUUUUGGACAAUGGGCGAAAGCCUGAUCCAGCAAUGCCGCGUGUGUGAAGAAGGCCUUCGGGUUGUAAAGCACUUUUGUCCGGAAAGAAAUCCUUGGCUCUAAUACAGUCGGGGGAUGACGGUACCGGAAGAAUAAGCACCGGCUAACUACGUGCCAGCAGCCGCGGUAAUACGUAGGGUGCGAGCGUUAAUCGGAAUUACUGGGCGUAAAGCGUGCGCAGGCGGUUUGCUAAGACCGAUGUGAAAUCCCCGGGCUCAACCUGGGAACUGCAUUGGUGACUGGCAGGCUAGAGUAUGGCAGAGGGGGGGUAGAAUUCCACGUGUAGCAGUGAAAUGCGUAGAGAUGUGGAGGAAUACCGAUGGCGAAGGCAGCCCCCUGGGCCAAUACUGACGCUCAUGCACGAAAGCGUGGGGAGCACACAGGAUUAGAUACCCUGGUAGUCCACGCCCUAAACGAUGUCAACUAGUUGUUGGGGAUUCAUUUCCUUAGUAACGUAGCUAACGCGUGAAGUUGACCGCCUGGGGAGUACGGUCGCAAGAUUAAAACUCAAAGGAAUUGACGGGGACCCGCACAAGCGGUGGAUGAUGUGGAUUAAUUCGAUGCAACGCGAAAAACCUUACCUACCCUUGACAUGGUCGGAAUCCCGCUGAGAGGUGGGAGUGCUCGAAAGAGAACCGGCGCACAGGUGCUGCAUGGCUGUCGUCAGCUCGUGUCGUGAGAUGUUGGGUUAAGUCCCGCAACGAGCGCAACCCUUGUCCUUAGUUGCUACGCAAGAGCACUCUAAGGAGACUGCCGGUGACAAACCGGAGGAAGGUGGGGAUGACGUCAAGUCCUCAUGGCCCUUAUGGGUAGGGCUUCACACGUCAUACAAUGGUCGGAACAGAGGGUUGCCAACCCGCGAGGGGGAGCUAAUCCCAGAAAACCGAUCGUAGUCCGGAUUGCACUCUGCAACUCGAGUGCAUGAAGCUGGAAUCGCUAGUAAUCGCGGAUCAGCAUGCCGCGGUGAAUACGUUCCCGGGUCUUGUACACACC